rnacentral:rRNA from 1 species
CCCUUAGAUGUCCUGGGCCGCACGCGCGCUACACUGAUGCAUUCAACGAGUUUUACCUUGGCCGAGAGGCCUGGGCAAUCUUUUAAACCUGCAUCGUGAUAGGGAUAGAUUAUUGCAAUUAUUAAUCUUGAACGAGGAAUUCCUAGUAAACGCAAAUCAUCAAUUUGCAUUGAUUACGUCCCUGCCCUUUGUACACACCGCCCGUCGCUACUACUGAUUGGGUGUUCAAGUGAGAUGCUUAGACCCUUGUUGCAUGGUUCAUUAUUGUGCUCCGAAAGGAAAAAGUUUCAAGCUUGAGUGUCUAGAGGAAGUAAAAGUCGUAACA